CAUGGCUCAGAUUGUAACGCUGGCGGAAUGCUUACACAUGCAAGUCGAACGGUAGAGGGGCGAACCCUGAGAGUGGCGAACGGGUGAGUAAUAUAUCGGAACGUGCCCAGUCGUGGGGGAUAACGUAGCGAAAGUUACGCUAAUACCGCAUACGAUCUACGGAUGAAAGCGGGGGAUCGCAAGACCUCGCGCGAUUGGAGCGGCCGAUAUCAGAUUAGGUAGCUGGUGGGGUAAAGGCUCACCAAGCCAACGAUCUGUAGCUGGUCUGAGAGGACGACCAGCCACACUGGAACUGAGACACGGUCCAGACUCCUACGGGAGGCAGCAGUGGGGAAUUUUGGACAAUGGACGCAAGUCUGAUCCAGCCAUUCCGCGUGCAGGAUGAAGGCCCUCGGGUUGUAAACUGCCUUUGUACGGAACGAAAAGGUUUCUAUUAAUACUAGGAGCUCAUGACGGUACCGUAAGAAUAAGCACCGGCUAACUACGUG
rnacentral:rRNA from 1 species